rnacentral:lncRNA from 1 species
GGACGACCAAAGCAAGCUCAGUCUGUUGCAGUGAGCUGACGAAGAGCCGGUUCGACAAAUCAGGCGUAUUCAAAAUCCAAGCGAGAGAUGGGUUGUUGGACUUGCUCUACUCGAGAUCGUGAUGACAACUACAAGGUUUAAACGUUGAAAGGUAGGCCUCGCAAUAACACUGCAAUAACCAUGAAAGACCUGAGGCUCCGAGAUAUGUCGCGUCUUAAAAAGUUACCUUCGAAGGUACCUUCGUAUGGAAUACCUUCUUCUUCGAAGGUACGAAGUAAUAAUACAAAUAAUAUGGAAGCAAGGUACAUUUAUUUAUUUAUUCGGUAGUCAGACCUUCCGGCAUUAGUGCAUGCCCGAUGGAUUAGUCUGCGCCUGAUCUAUUAAUGCUUAGAGCUGGAACAGGUCUCAUAGAAAAUGUUAUUUUUUGGGCAUCUCUUGGUUCGAUCGUUUGCAUUCACACGGCGCGCAACCAUGUCCAUUCCAUCGCGCGAGGGAUUAACUCAAGAAACUUCUUAUAAAAUCGAGGGUCUAAAUGUAUCGUUCUCUCGCGAGGCGCGCGUCGGCCACUCGGGCGAUUCUGAUCGUGAACGCCGUGUCGCUUCACUCUUCGCGACCAGCGGCGUAGGUUGUACCGUCAAAGUUUGUCGCGAAACGCGGCGAGCGCGACGGCAGCGGCGCGCGCAAGCGGGACCACAACCAGACUAUUUGCCUGUUGUGGUACGUGAGGACGGCAAUUGACGGUCUAAUCUUGAGUUAAUUCCUGUCUACCGGUGACUAUUCAAUAGUCAAAAAAUUUAAAUAGUU